CAUAUUUAAUUUCUGUGAUUUUAAAUAUGACGUUUAUACAACUAUUCUUCAUGAUCACUAAGUUAAUAAAAGAUCACCCAUGCUUAGGAAAGAUGCAGUGUCCUGCCACAUUAGUUUAGGGUAGACAUUUCAUGCCAACCAAAGAUGGAUGUUUCUAAAUUACUUUUGUGAGAUUUUUAUUUAAAUGCUUAUUAGGCUUGUAGCCAAUUUGCAUGUUAAUCCAAGAAUAAAUUAAAAUACAAUUAAUCCUUGUUCCGAUGUUAGUGGUGAAUUUUUUGCCCUAGGUUCCCUCAAACUGAUAACAUUUUAAUUGCAUUUUUUAUUAAAUUCCUUAGUUUAAUUUUUUUCACAAACUCUUCAUUUUAAAUAUUUUUAUUUUUUUAAGAAAAAUAACUGUACCCCAAUCCCUGUGGAUCAAUACCCG
rnacentral:lncRNA from 1 species